rnacentral:rRNA from 1 species
UACGUAGGGGGCAAGCGUUGUCCGGAUUUAUUGGGCGUAAAGAGCGUGUAGGCGGCUUUACAGGUCCGUUGUGAAAACUCGAGGCUCAACCUCGAGACGCCGGUGGAAACCGUAAGGCUAGAGUCCGGAAGAGGAGAGUGGAAUUCCUGGUGUAGCGGUGAAAUGCGCAGAUAUCAGGAAGAACACCCGUGGCGAAGGCGGCUCUCUGGGACGGUACUGACGCUGAGACGCGAAACGUGGGGAGCGAACCGGAUUAGACUAC